AGAGUUUGAUCCUGGCUCAGGAUGAACGCUAGCUACAGGCUUAACACAUGCAAGUCGAGGGGCAGCAUGAACUUAGCUUGCUAAGUUUGAUGGCGACCGGCGCACGGGUGAGUAACACGUAUCCAACCUGCCGAUGACUCGGGGAUAGCCUUUCGAAAGAAAGAUUAAUACCCGAUGGCAUAGUUCUUCCGCAUGGUAGAACUAUUAAAGAAUUUCGGUCAUCGAUGGGGAUGCGUUCCAUUAGGUUGUUGGCGGGGUAACGGCCCACCAAGCCUUCGAUGGAUAGGGGUUCUGAGAGGAAGGUCCCCCACAUUGGAACUGAGACACGGUCCAAACUCCUACGGGAGGCAGCAGUGAGGAAUAUUGGUCAAUGGACGAGAGUCUGAACCAGCCAAGUAGCGUGAAGGAUGACUGCCCUAUGGGUUGUAAACUUCUUUUAUAAAGGAAUAAAGUCGGGUAUGCAUACCCGUUUGCAUGUACUUUAUGAAUAAGGAUCGGCUAACUCCGUGCCAGCAGCCGCGGUAAUACGGAGGAUCCGAGCGUUAUCCGGAUUUAUUGGGUUUAAAGGGAGCGUAGAUGGAUGUUUAAGUCAGUUGUGAAAGUUUGCGGCUCAACCGUAAAAUUGCAGUUGAUACUGGAUGUCUUGAGUGCAGUUGAGGCAGGCGGAAUUCGUGGUGUAGCGGUGAAAUGCUUAGAUAUCACGAAGAACUCCGAUUGCGAAGGCAGCCUGCUAAGCUGCAACUGACAUUGAGGCUCGAAAGUGUGGGUAUCAAACAGGAUUAGAUACCCUGGUAGUCCACACGGUAAACGAUGAAUACUCGCUGUUUGCGAUAUACGGCAAGCGGCCAAGCGAAAGCGUUAAGUAUUCCACCUGGGGAGUACGCCGGCAACGGUGAAACU
rnacentral:rRNA from 1 species